rnacentral:rRNA from 1 species
AGCGGACAGAUGGGAGCUUGCUCCCUGAUGUUAGCGGCGGACGGGUGAGUAACACGUGGGUAACCUGCCUGUAAGACUGGGAUAACUCCGGGAAACCGGGGCUAAUACCGGAUGCUUGUUUGAACCGCAUGGUUCAAACAUAAAAGGUGGCUUCGGCUACCACUUACAGAUGGACCCGCGGCGCAUUAGCUAGUUGGUGAGGUAAUGGCUCACCAAGGCAACGAUGCGUAGCCGACCUGAGAGGGUGAUCGGCCACACUGGGACUGAGACACGGCCCAGACUCCUACGGGAGGCAGCAGUAGGGAAUCUUCCGCAAUGGACGAAAGUCUGACGGAGCAACGCCGCGUGAGUGAUGAAGGUUUUCGGAUCGUAAAGCUCUGUUGUUAGGGAAGAACAAGUACCGUUCGAAUAGGGCGGUACCUUGACGGUACCUAACCAGAAAGCCACGGCUAACUACGUGCCAGCAGCCGCGGUAAUACGUAGGUGGCAAGCGUUGUCCGGAAUUAUUGGGCGUAAAGGGCUCGCAGGCGGUUUCUUAAGUCUGAUGUGAAAGCCCCCGGCUCAACCGGGGAGGGUCAUUGGAAACUGGGGAACUUGAGUGCAGAAGAGGAGAGUGGAAUUCCACGUGUAGCGGUGAAAUGCGUAGAGAUGUGGAGGAACACCAGUGGCGAAGGCGACUCUCUGGUCUGUAACUGACGCUGAGGAGCGAAAGCGUGGGGAGCGAACAGGAUUAGAUACCCUGGUAGUCCACGCCGUAAACGAUGAGUGCUAAGUGUUAGGGGGUUUCCGCCCCUUAUUGCUGCAGCUAACGCAUUAAUCACUCCGCCUGGCGAGUACGGUCGCAGGACUGAAACUAAAAGGAAUUGA